rnacentral:rRNA from 1 species
GACGAACGCUGGCGGCGUGCCUAAUACAUGCAAGUAGAACGCUGAAGGAGGAGCUUGCUUCUCUGGAUGAGUUGCGAACGGGUGAGUAACGCGUAGGUAACCUGCCUGGUAGCGGGGGAUAACUAUUGGAAACGAUAGCUAAUACCGCAUAAGAGUAGAUGUUGCAUGACAUUUGCUUAAAAGGUGCAAUUGCAUCACUACCAGAUGGACCUGCGUUGUAUUAGCUAGUUGGUGGGGUAACGGCUCACCAAGGCGACGAUACAUAGCCGACCUGAGAGGGUGAUCGGCCACACUGGGACUGAGACACGGCCCAGACUCCUACAGGAGGCAGCAGUAGGGAAUCUUCGGCAAUGGACGGAAGUCUGACCGAGCAACGCCGCGUGAGUGAAGAAGGUUUUCGGAUCGUAAAGCUCUGUUGUAAGAGAAGAACGAGUGUGAGAGUGGAAAGUUCACACUGUGACGGUAUCUUACCAGAAAGGGACGGCUAACUACGUG